CCACCAAGUCAUACCAACAUUGGGUGAAUGCACCCAAUCUUGUCUGAUCUCGGGAGCUAAGCAGGGUCUGGCCUGCUUAGUACUUGGAUGGGAGACAGAUCUUCAGAAGAGACUGCUCAGAGACUGUUUGGA
rnacentral:rRNA from 1 species